AUACGGAGGGUGCAAGCGUUAAUCGGAAUUACUGGGCGUAAAGCGCACGCAGGCGGUCUGUCAAGUCGGAUGUGAAAUCCCCGGGCUCAACCUGGGAACUGCAUUCGAAACUGGCAGGCUUGAGUCUCGUAGAGGGGGGUAGAAUUCCAGGUGUAGCGGUGAAAUGCGUAGAGAUCUGGAGGAAUACCGGUGGCGAAGGCGGCCCCCUGGACGAAGACUGACGCUCAGGUGCGAAAGCGUGGGGAGCAAACAGGAUUAGAUACCCUGGUAGUCCACGCCGUAAACGAUGUCUAUUUGGAGGUUGUGCCCUUGAGGCGUGGCUUCCGGAGCUAACGCAUUAAGUACUCCGCCUGGGAAGUACGGUCGCAAGACUAAA
rnacentral:rRNA from 1 species